CCGGUCUCGCGAAUNCACUANAGCUUAAUUGAUCAUGGCUCAGAGUGCCCGCGGGGUUAUAGGCCUAACACAUGCAAGUCGAACGGCAGCACAGGAGAGCUUAGCUCUCUGAGGUGGCGAGAUGGCGGACGGGUAGAGGAAUACAUCGAGAAUCUACUCUGUCGUGGGGGAUAACGUAGGGAAACUUACGCUAAUACCGCAUACGACCUACGAGGUGAAAGCAGAGGAGAUCUUCGGACCUUGCGCGAUUGAAUGAGCCGAUGUCGGAUNUAGCUAGUAUGGCGGGGUAGAGGCCCACCAAGGCGACGAUACCGUAGCUAGGUCUGAGAGGAUGAUCAGCCACACUGGAACUGAGACACGGUCCAGACUCCUACGGGAGGCAGCA
rnacentral:rRNA from 1 species